UACACAAGGGUUACCUGGUUACACACAAGGGUUUUCUUCCGUUCCCAUUGUUUGAGAAGGAAAGGGCGAUUAAUCUGAAUUGUAAUGGAAAAGGCAAACUACAGACUCAGACCACAAACAUUUAUACAAAAAUGCUUGUUCUUGGAGUCGAGGCCAGGGACCCUGUGGUGCUAAAUCCAGGCAAACCUCUGCUCUCUCCAGCGGACCUUCCCGGCAUGCACAGCAGGAGUGGACUGGAGGAAGAGGGAAUCUGACCAGCUGAAACACAGGUUCUGAAGCUUCUGUCAAGAGGCAGCAAUUUCUUGAGAUGAACAUCAGGGUUGCUUAUAUGUCAACAAACCUCUUGCUCAUGAAUCUGGGGACAAGUGGAGUGGCAUCACCUAGGAGCAUGCUGGUUCAGAGUCUUCCAUACAGCCCAGUCCCCAAAAGGUUCCUGUUUCCUUGGAAGCUCAGCCUCAGGCCCCCUCCUCCCCCAGAAAGCUGGCCAAGUAGAGGCUCCUCCCCUGGAGCUGCUCAAAACUGUGUCUACAGAGAAUUUAAGCUCGAGUCCCUAGACCAGCCAUACGAUUUCUCCUCCUUCCUGCCCUCACCCCCCCCCCCGUCUCAUCUCUGGGGGGCUUGAGAGUCACCCAGCAGUGCUUGGCUCAUUAAACCUGGACUUUUAGUUUAA